rnacentral:rRNA from 1 species
GACGAACGCUGGCGGCGUGCUUAACACAUGCAAGUCGAACGCUGAAGCUCAGCUUGCUGGGUGGAUGAGUGGCGAACGGGUGAGUAACACGUGAGUAACCUGCCCUCUUCUUUGGGAUAACGCCCGGAAACGGGUGCUAAUACUGGAUAUUCACUGAUUCUCGCAUGGGGGUUGGUGGAAAGGUUUUUUCUGGUGGGGGAUGGGCUCGCGGCCUAUCAGCUUGUUGGUGGGGUGAUGGCCUACCAAGGCUUUGACGGGUAGCCGGCCUGAGAGGGUGACCGGUCACAUUGGGACUGAGAUACGGCCCAGACUCCUACGGGAGGCAGCAGUGGGGAAUAUUGCACAAUGGGCGAAAGCCUGAUGCAGCGACGCCGCGUGAGGGAUGGAGGCCUUCGGGUUGUAAACCUCUUUCGCUCAUGGUCUAGCCGCAGCUUUGGGCUGUGGUGAGGGUAGUGGGUAAAGAAGCGCCGGCUAACUACGUG